rnacentral:sRNA from 1 species
CGGUAUGGAAGAAAGGCUAAGUUCGCGACGUCCUGUCGCAACGCCUUCAUGACCCACCUCCUGUGGG